rnacentral:rRNA from 1 species
UAGGGAAUCUUCCGCAAUGGACGAAAGUCUGACGGAGCAACGCCGCGUGAGUGAAGAAGGCUUUCGGUUCGUAAAACUCUGUUGUUAGGGAAGAAAAAAUGUAUAGUAACUAUAUACAAAAGAGACGGUACCUAACCAGAAAGCCACGGCUAACUACGUGCCAGCAGCCGCGGUAAUACGUAGGUGGCAAGCGUUGUCCGGAAUUAUUGGGCGUAAAGCGCGCGCAGGUGGUUUAGAAAGUCUGAUGUGAAAGCCCACGGCUCAACCGUUGAGGGUCAUUGGAAACUAAUAAACUUGAGUGCAGGAGAGAAAAGUGGAAUUCCUAGUGUAGCGGUGAAAUGCGUAGAGAUUAGGAGGAACACCGGUGGCGAAAGCGGCUUUUUGGCCUGCAACUGACACUGAGGCGCGAAAGCGUGGGGAGCAAACAGG